GGGUCGUUAGCUCAGUUGGUAGAGCAGUUGACUUUUAAUCAAUUGGUCGCAGGU
rnacentral:tRNA from 1 species